UUAAAAUUGUUGCAGUUAAAACGUUCGUAGUUGAAUAUUAAAGAAUCCGAUGUUUCAUUUAAACUGGUUUGGGAAAACCAAAUAUAUUAUAUAUUUUGCUUUGUUCAAAAUAAGGUUUUCUAAUAAAUUAUGUUUUUAUCAGAUAUGACAGAAUCUUUUUUAAAAUCUCUUCAAUAUGCUUUUAUUGCUUUUGAGAGGUUUUGUUACUUUGAGUAAAAUUAAGUGUUCAUAACAGACGGGUAGUCAUGAUUGAGUUCAUUGUGUUUGAAUACUACAGCAUGGAAUAACAAAUAUGAAUAAGCUAAUUAUUUUUUUUUUUCAUAAUUUUUUUUGAUAUUCUUAUUAGCUUAGUUACGAUUAAUAGGAGUAGCUUUGGGGGCAUUCGUAUUCAGAUGUCAGAGGUGAAAUUCUAAGAUUUUCUGGAGACGGACUACUGCGAAAGCAUUUGCCUAAUCUAUUUCCAUUAAUCAAGAACGAAAGUUAAGGGAGUGAAGACGAUCAGAUACCGUCGUAAUCUUAACCAUAAACUAUACCGACUAGGUGUUGGAUGAAUAUAAAAAAUAUAUAAAUAUGUAGCAUUUCUUAGGGAAUGUUGAUUUUAUAUUAGAAUUGCUUCCUUCAGUACCUUAUGAGAAAUCAAAGUCUUUGGGUUCUGGGGCGAGUAUUCGCGCAAGCGAGAAAGUUAAAAGAAUUGACGGAAGGGCACCACCAGGCGUGGAGCUUGCGGCUUAAUUUGACUCAACACGGGAAAACUCACUAGUUUAAGACAAGAGUAGGAUUGACAGAUUAAUAGCUCUUUCUUGAUUUCUUGGAUGGUGAUGCAUGGCCGUUUUUAGUUCGUGAAUAUGAUUUGUCUGGUUAAUUCCGAUAACGAACGAGAUCUUAACCUGCUAAUUAGCGGUAAGUACACUAUAUUUUUAUUUGAAAUUGAAUAUAGGUAAUUAUACAUGUUUAUUCAGUGUUCAAAUUAGGAUAUUUUUUUAUUAAAAUAUUCUUUUCCCUGUUCUACUAUAAUAAUUUGUUUUUUACUCUAUUUCUCUCUUCUUUUAAGAAUGUACUUGUUUGAUUAAAUAAAGCUUCUUAGAGGAACAGUGUGUAUCUAACACAAGGAAGUUUAAGGCAACAACAG
rnacentral:rRNA from 1 species